AAUCAGCCCAGACCGUUGGGUAAGUCUAAGCAUACCUGUCUGACCGAUAGCGUACCAGUACCGUGAGGGAAAGGUGAAAAGCACCCCGGGAGGGGAGUGAAACAGUUCCUGAAACCGUGCGCCCACAAACCGUCGGAGCCUCCGCGUGGGGUGACGGCGUGCCUAUCGAAAAAUGAGUCUGCGAGUCAGUGGCGGGUGGCGAGCAUAAGCCGUGUGGCGUAUGCGUAGCGAAAGCGAGUCUUAAAAGGCGUUUUUAGUCGCUUGUCCUGGACCCGAAGCGGGAUGAUCUAGCCCUGGGCAGGUUGAAGCGCGGGUAAGACCGCGUGGAGGACCGAACCCACCUGGGUUGAAAACCGGGGGGAUGACCUGGGGCUAGGGGUGAAAGGCCAAUCAAAUUCCGUGAUAGCUGGUUCUCUCCGAAAUGCAUUUAGGUGCAGCCUCGGGUGUUCCCUACGUGAGGUAGAGCGACUGAUCGGAUGCGAGGGCUUCACCGCCUAUCAAGUCCGGACAAACUCCGAAUGCGCGUAGGUCAUAACCCGGGAGUGAGGGCAUGGGUGCUAAGGUCCGUGCCCGAGAGGAGAAGAAUCCAGACCGCCAGCUAAGGCCCCGAAAUAUGGGUUAAGUUAAACUAACGAAGUGCGGUUCCCGUGACAGCUAGGAUGUUGGCUUGGAAGCAGCCAUUCAUUCAAAGAGUGCGUAACAGCUCACUAGUCGAGGGUCCGGGCAUGGAUAAUAAUCGGGUAUAAGGCAGACACCGAAGGCGCGGGAUAGCAAUUAUAAAAGUAUCGGUAGGGGAGCAUACUCACAGCGUCGAAUGGUGUACGUAAGUUAUCCUGGAGCGGUGAGUAAAGCAAAUGUAGGAAUAAGUAACGAUAAGGAGGGUUAGAUUCCCUCCCGCUGUAAGACCAAGGUUUCCCGGGCAAUGCCAAUCAGCCCGGGGUCAGUCGGGUCCUAAGUCUAAGCCGAACGGCGAUGGCGAUGGCAGAGACGGUUAAUAUUCCGUCACUGCCGCAUGGGGCGACGUGGAGACGGAGCAGUGAAACCACCGCGGGGCGACGGAAGUCCCCGUUGAAGAGUGUAGGCGUUGAGGAUGGCAGGCAAAUCCACCAUCCGAGCUGAACUUGACAGUACGGAGUCCUCUUCGGAGGAAUCUGAUAGUGUGGGUAAACAUACUCCCGAGAAAAUCCGCUAAGCUUAACCCAUGCGGCACCCGUACCGCAAACGGACACACGUGGUCGGGUAGAACAUACUAAGGCGUUGAGAGAUUCAUGGUUAAGGAACUAGGCAAAUUGACCCUGUAACUUCGGGAUAAAGGGUCCUCGUGAUGAGCGAGGCGCAGAGAAUAGGUCCAGGCAACUGUUUAACAAAAACACAGGGCUGUGCAAACUCGAAAGAUGACGUAUACAGCCUGACACCUGCCCGGUGCCGGAAGGUUAAGAGGAGAUGUCACCAGCAAUGGGAAGCAUUGAAUUGAAGCCCCGGUAAACGGCGGCCGUAACUAUAACGGUCCUAAGGUAGCGAAAUUCCUUGUCGGGU
rnacentral:rRNA from 1 species